rnacentral:rRNA from 1 species
GACGUAGGGCGCGAGCGUUGUCCGGAUUUAUUGGGCGUAAAGAGCUCGUAGGCGGCUUGUUGCGUCGGCUGUGAAAACCCGCAGCUCAACUGUGGGCUUGCAGCUGAUACGGGCAGGCUAGAAUUCGGUAGGGGAGACUGGAAUUCCUGGUGUAGCGGUGAAAUGCGCAGAUAUCAGGAGGAACACCGGUGGCGAAGGCGGGUCUCUGGGCCGAUAUUGACGCUGAGGAGCGAAAGCUAGGGGAGCAAACGGG